AGAUGAAAACCUAAGGAUGGUAUAUCUCCAGGAACAGGAUUGGUUACCACUGGUGUAGUGCUUGGUUGGACAAAUACUACAGACACUGCUGCCAGUAGGACCUGAAGUUGAAUAACACUGCAUUAGAUUGCACUUAUGACACAUGUUUUGAAGGACAGCAGCAGUCACUUUGAGGACGACUGAUUAUCAGCCAUGCCCUCUAGUCUCCCUCUAAGUGUGAUUGGCAGGUUGUUGUCUGCUACACCUUGCAGGCAGCAAGGUGGGUGUUGAUAAUGCCAGCGGAGAGAGGAUGUCAGCAAAGGAGAAUGUACCAUGACAAGGAAAGCUCUUAAAAUACAAGACAUUCCAAACCAGUGAGAAAUUAUCUUUAAAAAAAAUUAUAAUGGCAAAAUAAUAAGCCUAUAAAUGACAUGCUGUCCUGAUCCAAAACGCCCCAUGUUCCAGCACCCAGAGGAAACGACAUAAGUAAAUGUACAUGGAGUUCCUGGCUGUGAUUAAUGGGGUCCCCAGGCAGCAUAGAACUGACUCAGUCUGAAGGACUCUCUUCCCCAGGAAGUGAAAAUGAUGUUGAGCUGACUGUUGUUACUGGUCUCCGGCUCAAAAACACAGAAGACUGCAAGGGUCGCAGGGGGGCCUGAAGUCUACCCCAGCGUGCAUUGGGCAAGAGGGAGGAUUACACCCUGGACAGGCCACCAAUCUAUUGCAGAGCACACAUGCUCACAUUCAGACCUACGGGUCUCCAAUUAGCCUACCUGCAUGUCUUCGGACUGUGGGAGGAAACCAGAGUGCCCAGGGAAAACCCACACGGGCACGGGGAGAACAUGCAAACUCCACACAAAGGUCCAAGCUGGGAUUCGAACCCAUGAUCUUGCUGUGAGGUGACAGUGCUACCCACUGCACCACCGUGCUGCCCUACUUUGCUACAUAAGGGAAAUUCAUAUUUGGCUGCAAAGCAUUGUAUAUUUAAAUCAAGGAUUAUGUUGGAAUGGUUCUGUGUAAAUUGCACAGCAGCCUGCUGUGAACAAAUCAUAUUAACAAUGUAUCUUAUGUAAAGUAGAGGCUUUAUGAUCACUUAAACAACAGUUACCUUUCAAGUGCAUGGUGGGGAGCAUUGUAUAAUAAUUCAAUAUCAGGUAGAACCUAUCCUAGUCUAGCUAGUACAAUAAAUAUCAAAAUGAAUAAUUUGGAAUUUUGAUUAUGACAGAAUGAACACACAAGGUAUUAUUUUUCAGUGUAUUACUUGGUUACUAACAAAUUACCCCCCCCCCCCCACCCCCCCAUAUACACACACUAUUUCAUAUAUAACAAAUGAUUUCCACAU